GGUGAGAUGGCAGAGUGGUUUAAUGCGCAUGCUUGGAAAGUAUGUGUACGAGAAAUCGUACCGUGGGUUCAAAUCCCGCUCUCACCG
rnacentral:tRNA from 1 species